UACGAAGGGGGCUAGCGUUGCUCGGAAUCACUGGGCGUAAAGCGCACGUAGGCGGAUUGUUAAGUCAGGGGUGAAAUCCUGGAGCUCAACUCCAGAACUGCCUUUGAUACUGGCGAUCUUGAGUCCGGGAGAGGUGAGUGGAACUGCGAGUGUAGAGGUGAAAUUCGUAGAUAUUCGCAAGAACACCAGUGGCGAAGGCGGACUCACUGGCCCGGUACUGACGCUGAGGUGCGAAAGCGUGGGGAGCGAACAGG
rnacentral:rRNA from 1 species